rnacentral:rRNA from 1 species
CCUACGGGAGGCAGCAGUGAGGAAUAUUGGUCAAUGGGCUUACGCCUGAACCAGCCAAGUCGCGUGAGGGAAGACUGCCCUAUGGGUUGUAAACCUCUUUUGUCAGGGAGCAACGCCGGCUACGUGUAGCCGGACUGAGAGUACCUGAAGAAAAAGCAUCGGCUAACUCCGUGCCAGCAGCCGCGGUAAUACGGAGGAUGCGAGCGUUAUCCGGAUUUAUGGGGUUUAAAGGGUGCGUAGGCGGAAUGCCAAGUCAGCGGUAAAAUCGCGGGGCUCAACCUCGCUCCGCCGUUGACACUGGCGUUCUUGAGUGGGCGAGAAGUAUGCGGAAUGCGUGGUGUAGCGGUGAAAUGCAUAGAUAUCACGCAGAACUCCGAUUGCGAAGGCAGCAUACCGGCGCCCAACUGACGCUGAAGCACGAAAGCGUGGGUAUCGAACAGGAUUAGAUACCCUAGUAGUC